GGGGGGAUAGCUCAGUGGUAGAGCAUUUGAUCAGAUCGAGAGGUCCCCGUUCAAACCGGGGGGCCCCUUUUUUUCA